rnacentral:lncRNA from 1 species
GCGACAGGCUGCAGGGGCGGGAGGCAAGGGACACGCUAUGCCCAAGCAGGGCGAGUCCAUGGGCUGUGCCCAUGAUGGAAGACCACGACUGCCAUCAUGAUAGCUGGAAGUUUGUGGGCCACGACGCCGAUCCUGGUCAGAGCGGGCCUGGGGCUGCGCUUGUUGGAGCAGUGCCUUGUCAGAUUAGCCAUACGGUUGCUGUGUGCAAUUCUCAACCUGGACAGACAGGCCUGCCAGGCAGAAACUGCUCAGGCAGAUGAUGCUGGGGAGGACAAAAAUUAUCCACCGCAAGACUAAGAAGACAGAUGACACCCAGCAGGAAUGGCGAGCCAAAUCAUCAGAAUCCACAAUACAGCUGGCUAGCCCUAGGCUACCUGCCUCUUUGAAGUGGAAGAGACAUCACCGAUGAGCUGUCAAAUUAGAUCACCAGCCUGGAAACGCUGAAAGAGAUUUAGUUCUUCCAGCAGAGAAGGGGAAGUGUAAUAGAUGAAAAUCUUCCUAAAGGGGCCAAGGUAAUGUGGGAGGGGAAGGGGGAAUCCUGAACAUGCAACAAUGAAAAAUUACUAGCCUCUCUCCUGCCUGCACUGGAAAGAUGAAGUUGGCUGCGUUAUGUGGCAGCAGGAAUCACUGUAGUCACUACCAGCAUAGGAAAUAAGGGCGACGCCUGCAGGAAUGUGCACAUAGCAGCAACAACACAACACUUGAAAGUCUGUUUGAACGUG